rnacentral:rRNA from 1 species
AUACGUAGGGGGCGAGCGUUGUCCGGAAUGAUUGGGCGUAAAGGGCGCGUAGGCGGCCCGGUAAGUCUGGAGUGAAAGUCCUGUUUUUAAGAUGGGAAUUGCUUUGGAUACUGUCGGGCUUGAGUGCAGGAGAGGUAAGUGGAAUUCCCAGUGUAGCGGUGAAAUGCGUAGAGAUUGGGAGGAACACCAGUGGCGAAGGCGACUUACUGGACUGUAACUGACGCUGAGGCGCGAAAGUGUGGGGAGCAAACAGGAUUAGAUACCCUGGUAGUCCACACUGUAAACGAUGAAUGCUAGGUGUAGGGGGUAUCGACCCCUUCUGUGCCGCAGUCAACACGAUAAGCAUUCCGCCUGGGGAGUACGGCCGCAAGGUUGAAACUCAAAUGAAUUGACGGGG